GGUGUGGAGGGAUCUGAAGAUGGGCUCGAGGUCAAAUAGGAUAUAAAAAAGAGAGAAAUUAACAUCCGGUCCAUUUGUUGAUCAGACUUUAUAACUUUUAAGCUCUACUGACUUUUUAUGUAACUUUCAGUCCACUUGUAAUGGGGCUUUAACUUUUACUCAUGAGACAAAAAUUCCCUCAAUUUAAUAGCAUACUUUCUUUCCAUUUUCCUGCAUAUGGUAAAGUUGGGGGGGGGU
rnacentral:lncRNA from 1 species